UACGGGGUGGCCGAAGGAAUAGGUACUGGUUUGUAAAACCGGCAAUGGAAUCUAAAGAUAUUUCCUCCGUAA
rnacentral:tRNA from 1 species